GACAGAGGGUGCAAACGUUGUUCGGAUUUACUGGGCGUAAAGCGCGUGUAGGCGGCUUGGCAAGUUGAAUGUGAAAGCCCACGGCUCAACCGUAGAAGCGCAUCCAAAACUGCUUCGCUUGAGUCUCGGAGAGGAAGGUGGAAUGCUUGGUGUAGAGGUGAAAUUCGUAGAUAUCAAGCAGAACACCUGCGGCGAAGGCGGCCUUCUGGACGAUGACUGACGCUGAGACGCGAAAGCGUGGGGAGCAAACAGG
rnacentral:rRNA from 1 species